rnacentral:lncRNA from 1 species
GUAUACCUUACUCAUUUGGGCCACAUGCCCCAUUAGCAUGUUCAAUUUAUCACUAUCACUAUGGGUCACAUGCCCUUAGCAUGAUCUGUACUACCAUCAUAAUUGAUUACAUGUUCCCAGCAUGUUUAGUCUACAUGCCUUAACAUGUUCGCUUUAUAGGCCUUUAGCAUAUUAUGAAUACACAUAUUAAGAUAGAGCCAUAGAUAGACAUGUCUUGUUGAAUAUGAAUUGGGACUUGGAUGGUAAUAUUUAUGCUUGAAGUUUGGAAUUUGAUGUUGAUUGUAUUUGUAUAUGUAGUGGUUCAUUAGAACCCAUGCUUGUACAUGUAUCUUGACUUAAUUAAUGUAUGGAAUGUGAGUGAUUGUUAGUAGGGUAGUUGCCCUUUCUUUGGUCUUGAAAUCUAGGUAUUUAAGUGUCACGACCCGAAACUCCCAUCGAGCCCGUGACAACCGCCGCAACGUCCCGAUAGGCACUCAUUACCUCGAAUGCCGAUCGAAACCCCGCAAGGCUUAGCAUCAGCUUCCGCAUCUCCCCAGUGAGCGAUAGUUAUUAAAUCUCACAUUUCAAAAAAAUCAUAAGUCAUUUCCAAAUCAAAACAAUAAAAUAUUACUUUCUGGCUCACAGGGGCAUUUUCGUCAUUUUUUUUCGAAAAUACCGAAACUCGCCAAAAACAUGGUGUAAAAGCUAAAUAUAUUCAUACAUACUUUAAAUCAAAUAAUUGAAGAAUAAAAUUACUUUUAC